CAUCCAAAUAUGUUGUGACAAUCCAGUGAGCAAUAUCAACUUUUUGGAGCUGAAAACCGAUGUGAGGUACAACUAAUACACAAUAUGUUGUGGCAAUCCAGUAAUAUACCCUAAGGAUGCGUCCUCUUUUGUUGUAAAUUUAUCAUGGGAAAAUGAGGGAUAAACAAAAUUUCACCCUUUAAAUCCUUCAUUUUUUCCCUCAUUUCUUACAAAAUAGAAUUUGACCCUUACUCAUUUCUCCUUUUCACUGCAAAGGAGGGCUAAUAUUAUCUCUCUAUUUUUGGUAUAAUGAAGAAUUUGAUACGUAAUUACAAUUAAUUAUAAUGAAGUGUGUAUUUUAGUUGCUCAUAUUCUUGGAUUAUUUAUGCUUUAAUGAAACGAUCCACUGCCUUUAACAUUUUGGCAUUUUAAAGUAAACGCCGAAAUGCAACGAUCCACUGCCUUUUAAGUAAACACCCUCUGCUAACCCCUGCAUGCGUUUUUUCAUCAAACACUUGGGUUCAUUCUUUUAGGCAUUUUAUCAAACAGUUGUGCUCAGCCUCAUCCUUUUGAUCACAUUCCCAUAUCUCUCCUUAUAUGAAACCGCAUUUUCUAUUUCUCAUAUAUUUCCUAUAUAAUAUUUCCAUCAUUUCUAGCUCAACAAUAAUUCUUCUAGCAAAAUUAUCAUUUCAAAUGCACUCUUUUUCCCGAUCAAAAAAAAAAUGCACUCUUUUCCUUUUCUACUUUCUCUUCUGCAUAACAGAAAUACUAAUCCACCAUAAAAAUAAUCAUAACUUUUUCUUAAUGAUACGAUGAGGGCACAAAGUUGAGGGCACAAAGUUGAGAUGAUAAAAUCAUACAUAUUGGCGAAUGUUGCCGCCGGCUUCCUCUGACUUUUGGAUGCUGAGGGGAGGGGUGGCGGUGAAAUACCAGGAGUUGAUGAUGAAUUUGAUGGUUGUUUCCAUGUCCACCUGCCGCAGAGACCGAGAUACGAUUUUAGAAACAAACGGCAAAAUUACAAUUUCACAUAUAAAAAAUAAAAGACGAUUAAUAAAGCGCAACAUGUUGGUAAGAUGCUUCCAACCAAUAGGUCGGGAUUGUAUAUCGUGUGAGUGUGUUUUUCAUUUUUUAGUAAUAACAUGUCGUGCUCGGGGCUUUUUUCCGUAUCUGCCCCUGCUUCCCGUCGUCGUGCCCGACUCGUCGGUUUUUGUCAUGCGGAGGUAGGUGGUGGCGUCGGUGAAGUUGGCGUCGCCUUCCAAGCGUAGGCCUUCCGAAUGUGGCGGCUUUUGGUAGAAGUCGUAGGUGAAGGAGACUGCAUCGCCGACCGACACGGUGGCGAGGAGGAGGGCGAUGGAGGAGAGGAGAGGAAUUAAGGUUUGGAGAAGGUUGGCCAUUGCUUAAAUGAUUUGGAUGUAGUGG